GAUGAAGAACGUAGCGAAAUGCGAUAAGUAAUGUGAAUUGCAGAAUUCAGUGAAUCAUCGAAUCUUUGAACGCACAUUGCGCCCCCUGGUAUUCCGGGGGGCAUGCCUGUCCGAGCGUCAUUACAACCCUCAAGCUCAGCUUGGUGUUGGGCCCCGCCGCCCCGGCGGGCCCUAAAGUCAGUGGCGGUGCCGUCCGGCUCCGAGCGUAGUAAUUCUUCUCGCUCUGGAGGCCCGGUCGUGUGCUCGCCAGCAACCCCCAAUUUUUUUCAGGUUGACCUCGGAUCAGGUAGGGAUACCCGCUGAACUUAAGCAUAUCAAUAAGCGGAGG
rnacentral:misc_RNA from 1 species